GCAAUUAUUACGACGCUCGUAGUGCCAUCCCCAGCUUCGGUAUCCUGAGCCCUGGACAAUUCUACCAACUGAAGGAGGAAAAAAAAAUUCAAAUCAUUGCUCAUGCUGUGUCUUUCACCAACAGAAAGGUGGACGAAAAAUCUUUUACUACAACUGAGCAGAAAUGUCCCGUAUUCAAUUUGUCGGAAACUAGCCGAUGUGAAGUGAACUGGGCAAAUUUACACAUAUAAUCAGCAAUAAUGAUUUUUACGUCUGUAGAAAUUGUUAAUUACUCGUUGAAAAGCGUAUCUGGGUAGCUUGUUGCGUUCCAUACAUGGAGUGUGACUUGACUGUAUAUCGACGACGAAUCAGGGAAUCAAAUCAGGUUUCACUAUUGCUAUCAUCAAAGUAUGGAGGAUCGAAAUGCCCCAAGAAGGAAAUUGAAAGAUCCGGCUGCGCCACAGCUGAUUCCGGAUGCGGGGGGCAAACAAGAGCGAGUCUUCAGCCAGUGAAUGUGAGCAAUGCCUGC